AACGAAACGAAACGAAGCAAUACGACACAAUGCGACACACCACGCACUAGAUUCGAGAUUCUUUUUCCUUCCGUCGAUGCUCCUGUUAUUAUUCAUGUGGAUUCAUCGAGGAUGGUGUAUUCCAGAAGGAGCCGGGCGAGGGUUCUGCACAGGCGUCCUCCGUCGUCUUCUACCGAAGGCCGUGUGGUGUCACGGUGAGCGUGGCAAAACCCGGAAAGAAGAAAAGAAGCCGAAGGAGCGUGAAGAAGUACGAAGGAAUACGAAGGAGCCCGAAGGAGCUAAAAGACUCUCCUCCUAUUUCUUCUCUUCAUCAUCUUCUUUUAGUUUUCUUCACCGAAACCAGCUCCUGAUUAUCAGUAUAGUACAUACAUAUACGUAUAAUAUAACGAAAUAAAAUUUUGAUUCUCUUCCCAUUGUCUUUAUAUUAUAAUUUUAACUAAUUUUUUUUACAC